GGUGAUCCUGCCCCCCAGCACUGGUGAGGCCACACCUGGAAUGCUAGUCCGGCUCUGGGCUCCUCAGGACAAGACAGACACGAACACAAUGGAGAGAGUCCAGGAUAUGGCCACCAAGAUGACGAAGGGACUGGAGCAGCUCAUCCUGGAGAAGAGAAGGCUCAGGGGGAUCUCACCAAUGUGUAUAAACACCUGGAGGGAAGGUACAAAGAGGACAGAGCCAGGCUCUUUCCAGUGGGGCCCAGAGACAGGACCAGAGGUGACUCAACGCAGGAGGUUCCCUCUGAACAUCAGUAAACUCCUCUUCCCUAUGAGGGUGACCAAGCACUGGCACAGGUUACCCAUGGAGGUGAUGGAGUCUUCAUCCUUGGAAACACUGAAAAGCUGUAUGGGAAUGAUGCUGGACAUCUGGCUCUAGGUAGUGCUGCUUGAGCAGGUGGCUGGACCAGAUGGCAUCCAGAGGUCAGCCUCAGCCAUUCAGUCACUCUGUGGAUUUCACAGGGCAUAUAUUGUGCAGUGUUACACUCACCAGUUAAACUUCAUGCAGCAGCUAUGUACCAGGACAAAGAACUGAAGGUAUUUAUUCAGUAUUUAUCCCGGGUGGUAUUUUUUUCGUUGUUUUUUUUUUUUUUUUUUCUGCUCCACCAACAUAUCCUGCUCCCUUCAAUGAAAUCCUGAAGAGGAGGGUGCUGAGACCCACUGUAACACAGUGGUAUUUCCAGGGAAGAACUACAAGUACCAUUCAUGAAAGCUUGAGUUUGAGUUAAGAGUGAUGGAGAAGCUUCAAAAACAAGAUUCAGAAAAUCAGGCAUUUGGCCUCGAUUAAGAAGUUGUUUGUCUGCUCAGCAUUUUGACUGAUGAGCAGUUUGGUUGCCUUCUGUAUUUGCUCUCAGCACGUCAGAAGUGAAUACACUGUACAAAGUACUACACAAAACAGGAACAUAAAACUGCGUGGCCUGAGCAGAAGCAGCUUUUGAGAAGGUGACUGCAGCUGUCUGGGACCAAGUCAGCAACCUGGCAGCACCUCACAAGCUCAACAAGCUCCUUAGCAAAAAAAAAAAGGUUAUGAGGUGUGUCAGUUAUAAAGGAAGUUUUUGAAGCGAUAGUUGUCCAGUGCUACAGACAGAUUUCUGGAGGGUUAUCCCCAGAUUACCAUCAAGCUGGCUGAUACAGAGUCAAGUGUAGCUUCCUAAGAGAUGGAAAAAUAAUUGAAAAUUUGUCAGAAAUGGAGUUUUUGGAAUUACAGAUUUGAUGAUAUGGCAUACAUGACUGACCACUCUGCAGAUACUACUAUUACAUACCAGUCUCCUUCACAGGUGGUAGAAUUCACAAUAUCUCAAAAACAGCAUGCUGGAAAUGAAGCACUGGUUACAGACCUGUCAAUUUAAUCCCCAUCAUCGCUGUAGAACGACUUCAUUGAGUAUAUGGCAUCCGUUCACUGUAUUUUUUUCUAGUGGCAUAAAUAAUAAAUUUCAAAGUCGAAUUCUGUAUA